rnacentral:rRNA from 1 species
GGUAGUCCACGCCGUAAACGAUGUCGACUUGGAGGUUGUGCCCUUGAGGCGUGGCUUCCGGAGCUAACGCGUUAAGUCGACCGCCUGGGGAGUACGGCCGCAAGGUUAAAACUCAAAUGAAUUGACGGGGGCCCGCACAAGCGGUGGAGCAUGUGGUUUAAUUCGAUGCAACGCGAAGAACCUUACCUACUCUUGACAUCCAGAGAACUUAGCAGAGAUGCUUUGGUGCCUUCGGGAACUCUGAGACAGGUGCUGCAUGGCUGUCGUCAGCUCGUGUUGUGAAAUGUUGGGUUAAGUCCCGCAACGAGCGCAACCCUUAUCCUUUGUUGCCAGCGGUUAGGCCGGGAACUCAAAGGAGACUGCCAGUGAUAAACUGGAGGAAGGUGGGGAUGACGUCAAGUCAUCAUGGCCCUUACGAGUAGGGCUACACACGUGCUACAAUGGCGCAUACAAAGAGAAGCGACCUCGCGAGAGCAAGCGGACCUCAUAAAGUGCGUCGUAGUCCGGAUUGGAGUCUGCAACUCGACUCCAUGAAGUCGGAAUCGCUAGUAAUCGUAGAUCAGAAUGCUACGGUGAAUACGUUCCCGGGCCUUGUACACACCGCCCGUCACACCAUGGGAGUGGGUUGCAAAAGAAGUAGGUAGCUUAACCUUCGGGAGGGCGCUUACCACUUUGUGAUUCAUGACCGGGGUGAAGUCGUAACAAGGUAACCGUAGGGGAACCUGC